CCGAAUAGUCAAUAUAACUCUCUGCAUUCCAAAGGACCCAAGCGCUUAAUAAGCAAGCCAUCUUUUAAUUACAAACCAUAGAACUAUAUGCGGUAUUCAUAGCACUCCCUAUUCGUAUUCCAUUACCCAUUUUCUUUUAAGUUUUGAUUUUUGUGUUGUGGGUUUUGAGUUUUGUCAGUAUCAUGGUUUCAUCUAAGAAUCACCAUUGAUUUUCGGCUGCAAGCUUACAGUGUGAUAACAAAGAGGAAGAUAGAUUGAAGUUCUGAAUGAAGCUGGAGAUGACACAAUAUAUCCAAUAGAAUAUGGGGUACCGAAUGCCUUGCAAAGAUUUGGAUGCAGAGGAUAAUCUUAUAGAGAAACAGAGGUCAAGCUCUUGACCGUCAAUGACCUACUACCACAGUGAAGAAGAAGCUGAAUCCGUUCUUAGCUUUUCGGUAACAUUUUUGAGUUCUCUCAUAAUUAUGAAAUCAACAUUGAGAAUGAUGAUUUUUCAUUUCUAUAAAUUGUGCCAAUGUUCGAGUGGAAGCCACUGUGUAUCUCUAAAGACAUAAGAAACUCAAAGAUGAUGAGUAUUUUUUUGCAA